rnacentral:lncRNA from 1 species
GUUGUGAGCUCUUAAAAGGGACAGAAAUUGUGCACUUGGGGUGCUCGGAUUUUAAGGCAGCAGCUUGCCGAUCCUCCCAGCUGAAUAAAGCCCUUCCUUCUACAACUUGGUGUCUGAGAGGUUUUGUCUGCGGCUCGUCCUUCUACAUUUCUUGGUCCCCUGACCGGGAAUCGAGGUAACUGAGGGAUGGCCGAGGUAGCCCCUUAGGCAGCUUAGGCCUGCCCUGUGGAGCAUCCCUGCAGGGGACUCUGGCCAGCCUGAGUGACGUGAUCCAAAGAGCACUCCUGGGUAGAAAAUUGCCUGGGUGGAACGCCUCACCAGAACAGCACGUAGCAGGCCCCUGUGGAGGAUUAACACAGUGGCUGAACACCGGGAAGGAACUGGCACUUGGAGUCCGGACAUCUGAAACUUGGACUGUGAAUGCAGCCCGUGAAAAAGAGGGUUUUCGGAAGCUUGACAUUUAUGAGGGUGAGGAAUUGACAAGCCGACAUCAGUCUCCAGAGUGAAUCCAAGGAGUGGACCCAAGACAUUUGUGUUCUGUGAUGUGGUGGCAUGUUACCUGUCAUCUCCGAUGCAUAACUCCUAAAGUGCGUCUGGGGCAGUUGUACAGAUUGCAGAGGAUAAUACUCAAGAUGUUCUCCAAGGCCAACUAGUCAUCAGUUUAUUCAUGCAAGUUUCUGGGAUUGGAUUCAUGAACUCAUCCUUUGAACUAUUUCAACAAGCUUUUUCAUGUAACUAAUCUGCGGAAGGUAGAAAGGGGAAAACUGUUGGGUGCUAAAAUGACAACUGGUUCAAGGUACAAUGGCGAAUAUUUUUAUUUCUGCAACUUUUCUUAGAGGUUGGAAACUGGACUGGGCAGGAAGAUUCCUUUUUGUAAGAUUAGUCUCCAGUUUUCAUCAAGCAGUUUAGUGGGGUAUUUUAGGCCCAGUUCCCUCUCCACAGUCCCCAAAGGUCUUCUGUUAACUUUAAAUCCGCAAAGAGAGAGAUCUCUGCCAAGCAGCAACUGCAAGAGCAUGUGGGUCAAUGUUACCAGCAGACACUCAAAGCCCAUUCCCUUUACUUCAACACCGCUUUAUAAAUUAUCUUAGAGACGUUGUCAGGUUGGUAUUAGAGGUGAGUGGUCAUGACUUCACGAUUUCUCAUCUUUCUGAAUGCAUAGUGGCUGGGAGUGGUGGCUCAUGCCUGUAAUCCCAGCAGUUUGGGAGGCCGAGGUGGGCAGAUUGUUUGACCACAGGAGUUCGAGACCAGCCGGGGUAACAUGGCAAGACCCCAAUCUCUACCAAAAAAAAAAAAAAA